AUUUUUGCAGCAUCCUUAAGGAAAUUUAGGACGUGACCUGAAAAAAUCACUUACCUGUCGAGGUACAAACAACGUUUUGAGCACAGGACAACUGAAAUAGACAAACUCCCAAAC